AAUGUCUUUUUUGUGUGUCUCUAUCUGAUGUGUUAUUGUGUAGUGACAACCUGAAUACAUCCAGCGAUGGAAGCCAAGCAUACAAACAGCAAAACAUAAACAUUCAGGACCAGGUCAUUUAUCUGACCAGCAUGUGGGUCAAAGUCUUUCCCCGGGUGUGAUAUCGGCUUCGCAAACAUCUGAUGCUGUCAUUGUGAACGUCUAGUGGACCCUGAAAUAAGGCCGAUGUCUCUCCACACAGUAAGUCAGAUAUCUGAUACAUUCAGCUUUCUGUCUCAGAGGAUUUAAAGCAACACACUGAGUGAGUUUCUCCAACUGGACUGUGUAUUAAAAGACCUCAGACUGAGCCGAGAUCCAUACAGGAGGUUCAGGGGUUGAAUACUGAACACGCCGGUGAGUCACAGAUUUGCUGAGCACCAUGGAGAAAAUCAUCUCUGCUGAUCUCUCGUCUGGUGGUUCAAACCAUCGCCAACGAAAAAACUCUGCCAGACUCAAACAUCUACACCAGCUGCUGAUGCUGCAGCAAACACUUAGACAAUCUCACAGGCUCUGCAGCUCCCCCUUGUGUUUUUUAAAGAGAUGUGCAAUCAUUGCGGUGAUCUGAAAACAUCACGAUGAGGUCAAACUAUCGCGAUGAGACAAUUAUUUAAUCAUUGUGACAGCUCUAAGCAAAAGAGAGACACAGUUUCUGAAUGUGGAGCGAAUCCUGGACCAUUUGAAAAACUAAAUUGAGUCGGAUGGAGGGUACAAGGUCAUGCUGGAACAUCCAUAAACUCCAGUGCACAUCAGGUCAAACAUCUCUACACACUUUCCUAUAUAUAAGACUAAAGUAUGAAGAAAGUGCAAACAUUCAGAUUUAAUUGUUGUCUGAAUGAGGAAAGACUGUGGGAGGUUUCCUAAAACAAGUUACAGAACUGAAGACAUGGAUAUUUUACUAUAUUGAAGCUGUGUCCCAAUUCAAAAGCUGCAUUCCAAGAUUGAUUGCAUUACAGCAGCUCAAAAUGCAUCCAUCUUUCCUUGAGCUGCGGAGGAUAAAACGAAUGGAUCCUUCAUAACCUCGGCCUUCCUGAAAUUCAUU